rnacentral:rRNA from 1 species
AAAGUCGUAACAAGGUUUCCGUAGGUGAACCUGCGGAAGGAUCAUUAUCGAAACACACGAGUCGAGGAAGGAAAGGGAAGUGAAAAGGACUGUCGCUGGCUCUGUGUCCCAUGGAGCAAUGUGCACGUCCAUCGCUUUCCUCCUUUCUCGUUCGUAAAUUCACNCUCACACCUGUGCACCAUGGUAGAUCACCUUCGAGAGAGGGGAGGUCUAUGUUCAUCAUAUUUAUGAUCACGCUCGUCGUAUGGCCAUAGAAUGAUAAAUGUUAUGAAUGUAGUACAACUUUCAGCAACGGAUCUCUUGGCUCUCGCAUCGAUGAAGAACGCAGCGAAUUGCGAUAAGUAAUGUGAAUUGCAGAUUUCCAGUGAAUCAUCGAAUCUUUGAACGCACCUUGCGCUCCUUGGUAUUCCGAGGAGCAUGCCUGUUUGAGUGUCAUCGAGUUCUCAACCGUGUCUUGAUUGAUCACGGCUUGGAGAUGGGGGCUGCUGGGCCAUUUCAGGUUCGGCUCUCCUGAAAUGCAUUAGCAAAAUGGGUUGGCUAGUCUUUGGGACGUGCACGGCCUCGGACGUGAUAAUGAUCGUCGUGGCUGGAGCGUCUGAGAUAGCGAUAUUAGCCCAUUGGCUUCUAAUGAGAAAGAAAAGGACAGAGAUGGGAAAAGAUCCUUGCUCAGUCAAGCUUAGCUAUUAGCUGGAGUCCUAAUCCUGGACCCUGGCGAACGUACAGCAGGAUGGACUUGGAGAACAGAUCGUCUCUGACUGAACGCUUUCACAUUGAAACUUGACCUCAAAUCAGGUAGGACUACCCGCUGA